CCUUUCCUCGAUCUACUUUGCUCUAAAAUGGCAGUGACUAACGAAGCCGAGCUCUCCCCUCAGGGACCUCCGCGGAGCCAGGAAGUCCUGUUCGGGUUUUUUUUAUGUAUGCGUAAUAUUAACUCGCCACGAAGGCUACGUUCACACGACGUUAAUCCUGAUUUAACCGCACUUCCCCCCGCAUGAGAUUAACGCUACCCCUGAUGGAGGUGUCGGGUCUCCACCUCACUCGAAGACGCCGCAGGGCCUGGGAAUGCAGGGCGCGACUUUCGGGGCCUUAAGAUGGUCGCGUUGGAAGGCCGAAGAGAGCUCGCCCCUUAGUUGUUGCCUGUUGUUGAUGGCAGGGGCGAGGUCAGCUUGCCCUGGGCUUCCCUUUGGCCAGCCUGGUCUACAAAAAUCGGCCGAAGCUGCUCGAGGAGUCCUCACCAAAUCAUUGGAAGUUGCAAGAAGAGAUUUCCGUAGCGCUUGAUGUAAUCGGGAUUGGACAGCAGACAACAGAAGGGACAUGUUCUAAAAUUUCUGAGAAGCAGAAAGUGAGCAAGAAGACAGAUGAGAUGACAGGAUUCAUGGAUGACUUUACUCUGAGCUCACCUAAAGGGAGAUCUCGGUUAUGUUCAAGGAGCAGCUGUAGCAGGCGAUCCUCCUCAGUAUCUUCUAGUGAUUCAUCUUACAGUUCAAGUUCUACUUCAAGUAUUUCAUCUGGAGUAGAUCAAGAAGCAGAUCAAGAUCACAUGCUAAAAGUAAUUGUUUUCAGACAUCCAGAGGAUACUCAAGAUCUUAUUCCAGGAGUUGAUCAAGAUCACACAAUUACGGAUACCAGGAAAGAUACCAUCUUAGAUAUUACAGAAGACAUCCUCACUCACGGCCAAGAUAUUGAUCACGGAGCAGAUCUCCUAUUAGAUCAUACUAUCACAGGUCUUACUCCUCAGGUAGAUCAAGAAGCUGAGGAUACUAUAGGUUUGGAAGAACCAUAUGUCUGGAAACUUAUAGAACAUGGGUGUCAAACUUGCGAUGUCACGUGAUGUAUUGCGACCUUUUCCCCAUUGCCAGCAAUGGGGUGGGCGUGGUUUUGGCAUGAUGCAUCUGGGCUGGCAGUUUGACACCCUUGUUAUAGAAGGUGGAGAAACCGUCUCGCAAUAAAAGCCCUCUUCUCUUGACAGAAAAAGGUAUUUAAGGGGGGGAAAAAAUCUUGGGUUGUGAAGAAAGUAUAUCAAAAUUCUUUGUCCAGAUAUGAAAAUGGCAGUAUUUGAAGCAUCUUACAGUGUACCUUAUAAAUAAUGGCAAA